GCGAACUGCGAAUGGCUCAUUAAAUCAGUUAUCGUCUAUUUGAUAGUACCUUACUACUCGGAUAACCGUGGUAAUUCUAGAGCUAAUACGUGCUGAAAACCCCGACUUCGGAAGGGGUGUAUUUAUUAGAUUAAAAGCCAAUGCCCCCCGGGGCCCCUUGGUGAUUCAUGAUAACUCCUCGAAUCGCACGGCCUUGCGCCGGCGAUGGUUCAUUCAAAUUUCUGCCCUAUCAACUUUCGACGGCUGGGUCUUGGCCAGCCGUGGUGACAACGGGUAACGGAGGGUUAGGGCUCGACCCCGGAGAAGGAGCCUGAGAAACGGCUACUACAUCCAAGGAAGGCAGCAGGCGCGCAAAUUACCCAAUCCCGACGCGGGGAGGUAGUGACAAUAAAUACUGAUACAGGGCUCUUUCGGGUCUUGUAAUUGGAAUGAGUACAAUUUAAUUCCCUUAACGAGGAACAAUUGGAGGGCAAGUCUGGUGCCAGCAGCCGCGGUAAUUCCAGCUCCAAUAGCGUAUAUUAAAGUUGUUGCAGUUAAAAAGCUCGUAGUUGAACCUUGGGCCUGGCUGGCCGGUCCGCCUCACCGCGUGCACUGGUCCGGCCGGGCCUUUCCCUCUGGGGAACCGCAUGCCCUUCGCUGGGCGUGCCGGGGAACCAGGACGUUUACUUUGAAAAAAUUAGAGUGUUCAAAGCAGGCUUAUGCUCGGAUACAUUAGCAUGGAAUAAUGGAAUAGGACGUGCGGUUCUAUUUUGUUGGUUUCUAGGACCGCCGUAAUGAUUAAUAGGGACAGUCGGGGGCAUCCGUAUUCAGUUGUCAGAGGUGAAAUUCUUGGAUCUACUGAAGACGAACUACUGCGAAAGCAUUUGCCAAGGAUGUUUUCAUUAAUCAGGAACGAAAGUUAGGGGAUCGAAGACGAUCAGAUACCGUCGUAGUCUUAACCAUAAACUAUGCCGACUAGGGAUCGGACGGUGUUGCUUUUUGACCCGUUCGGCA
rnacentral:rRNA from 1 species